rnacentral:rRNA from 1 species
AUGGGCAUGGCGGAGGGGAUGCGGCGCCGGUGCAUCACACUGCUCGUGCUCGUCGGCGUCGCUGCUCGGGCGGCUUCGGCCGUCACGGACGGCCUACUACCGAACGGCAACUUCAAGGACGGGCCAGCCAAGUCCCAGCUGAACGGCACGGUGGUGAUGGGGCGCCACUCCAUACCCAACUGGGAGAUCUCGGGGUUCGUCGAGUACAUCCAGUCGGGGCACACGCAGGACGACAUGAUCGUGGCGGUGCCGGAGGGCGCCAGCGCCGUGCGCCUGGGCAACGACGCGUCCAUCCGGCAGAACAUCAGAGUCACGCGGCGCGCCUACUACUCCAUCACCUUCAGCGCGGCGCGCACCUGCGCCCAAGCCGAGAAGCUCAACGUGUCCGUCGCCGCGGAUUCCGGCGUGCUCCCCGUCCAGACCGUGUACAGCAGCGGCGGCUGGGAUUCCUACUCAUGGGCCUUCAGGGCCAAGCACAGCGCCGUGUGGCUCGCCAUCCACAACCCCGGCGUCGAGGAGGACCCGGCGUGCGGCCCCGUCAUCGACGCCAUCGCCAUCAAGACCCUCCAGCCUCCCACGAAAACCAAAGGCAAUAUGCUCAGGAAUGGCGACUUUGAGGAUGGGCCGUACAUCUUCCCGGACUGCCCGUGGGGGGUUCUGGUGCCGCCGAUGGACGAGGACAACUGCUCGCCGUUGCCGGGAUGGAUGGUCAUGUCGAGCACCAAGGUGGUCAAGUACGUGGACGCGCCGAGGUACAGGGUGCCGCACGGCGCGCGGGCCGUCGAGCUGGUGGCUGGAAGGGAGACGGCGCUGGUGCAGGAGGUGGCGACCGUGGCCGGGCGAUCGUACAGGCUGCAGUUCUACGUCGGGGACGCGGCCAACGGGUGCAAGGAGUCCAUGGUCGUGGAGGCCUAUGUGGCGGCGGCGAGCCUGAAGGUCCAAUACCAGUCCCAGGGCACGGGAGGGUACAGGCGCGCCAUGCUCGAUUUCGUGGCGAUCGGGAACCUCACGCGUGUGGUGUUCCAGAGCCUUCACCACCACAUGAAGGUCGACGGCACGCUCUGCGGGCCGGUCGUGGAUGACAUCUCUCUCGUCAGCGUGCGCAAGCGCGCGGCUCGCCGACUGUUCAUGUGA